rnacentral:rRNA from 1 species
CCUACGGGUGGCUGCAGUGAGGAAUAUUGGUCAAUGGUCGCGAGACUGAACCAGCCAAGUCGCGUGAAGGAUGAAUGUACAGAGUGUUGUAAACUUCUUUUGUCAAGGAAUAAAGUCAGGCACGUGUGCCUGUUUGUGUGUACUUUAUGAAUAAGGAUCGGCUAACUCCGUGCCAGCAGCCGCGGUAAUACGGAGGAUCCGAGCGUUAUCCGGAUUUAUUGGGUUUAAAGGGAGCGUAGGUGGGUUGUUAAGUCAGGUGUGAAAGUUUGCGGCUCAACCGUAGAAUUGCCAUUGAUACUGGCAGUCUCGAGUUCAGUUGAGGUAGGCGGAAUUCGCGGUGUAGCGGUGAAAUGCUUAGAUAUCACGAAGAACUCCGAUUGCGAAGGCAGCUUACCA